rnacentral:rRNA from 1 species
AACAAACGCUGGCGGCGUGCCUAAUACAUGCAAGUCGAACGGGGAAAGCUUUCGGGUGAGUACUAGUGGCGCACGGGUGAGUAACGCGUGGAUAAUCUGCCUUAGAGUGGGGGAUAACUAGUCGAAAGAUUAGCUAAUACCGCAUAAGACCACAAGAACUGCGGUUCAAGAGGUCAAAGGUUUUUCGCUCUAAGAUGAGUCCGCGUAAGAUUAGCUAGUUGGUGAGGUAACGGCUCACCAAGGCAACGAUCUUUAACUGGUCUGAGAGGAUGAUAAGUCAGACUGGAGCUGAGGCACGGUCCAGAAUCCUACGGGAGGCAGCAGUCGGGAAUAUUGCACAAUGGAGGCGACUCUGAUGCAGCGACGCCGCGUGAGUGAUGAAAGCCUUCGGGUCGUAAAGCUCUGUCGCAGGGGAAUAACACAAUGAAUGUACCCUGUAAGAAAGGGUCGGCUAACUUCGUGCCAGCCGCCGCAGUAAGAC